rnacentral:rRNA from 1 species
AUGGUGAUCAUGGCGUAUCACCUUCUGCGUGGACAUACGGGGAUGGUUUUCUGCCGACCAGGAGACGCGGCCUGGACGAAGGUAGCUAGCCCCAAUUCACAGUACGUAGCCUUCGCUGACUUCGCCUACUCCGAGUCCGAGGGCAAGACGCUCGCCUUGGACAACAAAGGUGUCACGGUGGUGUUCGACGCCGCGACACUCGAGGUUCUCUACCAGGUCGACCUGCCGCCGGCGACCUCGAACUUCAGGUACAAGCAUUCCGGCCGCGAUGCUCCGGAUGAGUCGAGUUGCCUCCGCCUUGUUGCAGUGCCGGGCAAGGUGCUUUUGGUCAAAAUAUGCAUCAAGUCCUCUAGGCCGGAGGGGUUCCUACUCUUCGAGUUAUCGUCCGGGUCGGAGAAAGGUGACGGAGGGCCGGUCUGGCGCAAGGUGGCCGGCAACGACAUCGGUGGCGACCACGAGUUAUUCCUGGAUGGCUAG